AAAGUGAUUAUUAAAUAAAGAAAAAUAGAAAAUUAAAUAGGUUAAAUGUUGAAAUGUUAAAACUUAAUUUUAAGUUACAACAAUCCCACACAAAUUUUCAACUUUCAAAAUUAUAAAAAAUGUAUGAUAGCGGCAAUAUAAUAUUGUGUGAUAGGUGUAGGUAUCUCUUAGAUUUGAACCUCACUUAGAAAUAACAAUUUCCAUUUGAGGAAGUCAUAAUGGACUAAAUCUUGAAUUAGGUCCCUUUAACCAAAAUUCAAUUGUUCCACACAGUAUCGAUUUAGGCUCAACUCAUAGCGGGUAGCGCUGUUAAUGACCAUGCGCUCUGAUCUUGAGUCUAAUAAGAGUCUCUAGAGAGUAGUCCAAUCCCAUAGCCACGGCCUUGUGACAACUCUUACAUAAGUGAGUCCUCCAAAGGUAUGUGCCUCACAUCUGACGAGAAUUCUCGCCUCGGUACUUAUUCAGGGUUAAACUUUUCCAAUUAUCACAUUAUUAUUAACACUAUAUCACCAUAGGGAUGAGCGCAAAUAAAAUAGUGAUAUUACAAGUCACGUAGUAUGGGUUGUUUCUACCAAAUUGAUCAUUUUUCAUGGGAUCUCCAAUCACAAAGGUUGGAUUACUCCUGGAGGUGACUCCCUUAUGGGCUUAACUUAUGCCCCAUAUAU
rnacentral:lncRNA from 1 species